rnacentral:lncRNA from 1 species
CUGGCUAAGACCAACUACAGUAUAAGGUCCUCACAACUGAGCAUAUGAAGAGCACCUUUCCUCAAAGACCCACCAUAAGGCAGGUGGAGCAUGGGGCUCAGGUUCUAAAUCAUCUUGUGGCUAUAUUGCUCCUCAGCCCAGAUCUCUGCUGUUAUGUGUCCAUGAGAUGCCUAACUCUGCUUGAGAAAGCAACGGAAUGAGGGAACCAAAGUGUCCUUCUCCUGAGCAGUCCUAGAGAUUGGGUUGUGAGUAGGUCACUAGCAUAACUCUGGGGAAUGGAUCAGUUCUUAGAAUGAUGCUGCUGCCAAGGCGAGGCAUGUUAUCCCAAAUCUCAGUGGCUGUUACAAGAGGAGGAGACUACCCAACUGCCUUGUUUGGAACAUGACCCAUGUUGGCCAAGUAUCUCUCUGCCCAGUGAGUACACUAAGUGUUGCAGGUCUACGGAUCUCGGUGCAAUUUGUUCAGUAUAUGGAGCAAUGCAAUGAGUAUUCCAACCCUGAACAGCUGGGAAAGGAGAAAGAUGUGAAAAAUGAGGAGGGAUCCAGGUGGAAAGAAGAUGAAGAUCCAAUUUUUAUCCAAUGGCACAGAAGGCUCUUCAUGUCCAUGCUCUGUUAAUGUCACCUUCCCCAAGCCGUGUCUGCACCAACUGCCCUGCACAAACCGCCACAGGACACCCACAACCCUGCACCCUGCCCUAGUCUUCUCUGCAUUUUCCCUCAAGCUCCAUGUUGCCUGCCGAUGUCUGCUUUUACAAUUCCCUCUUUCCAGAGUAUUCCCUUCAACUUCCUCAUUCUCAUUUCAACUAAUUUUUACUGGUACUCCAGUCCUCAUCCUGCAGGGCACCCCUUUGGAGUCAUUUUCUGACCUGGAGGUUUUAUAGAAAAUGUUCCUCUCUGUUUACCCUAUCAUGGCAGUGGUUUGCCAUAGGACAAUUGCCUGCUAAUUUCUCUGUCUCCUUCAUUACCUGGAAGCUCCUGGAGGGCAGGAUUUAUAUAAUCUUCACCACUGUUUUCCUAGUAGUUAGGAGUACCCAACCAAUAACAGUCACUCAAUAAAUACUUUUUGAAUAAAUUGUUGCAAAUAAAUAGUAACCCUAGAAUAUUCAAGGUAACAAUGUUCUGUACAAUCACUGGAAGAAAACAGCUGUUUAGUACAUUUUGAAAAUAUUUCCAUCAAAACAGAUUCAAAUAAAAUCUUGGCACUUCAAUGGAAUAAGCUUCAGUUAACUGGAAAAAUAAUGUGCUUGCAAUGUGUUAACAGAAGAUGGUAAAU